GGGGUUGUGGCUCAGUGGUAGAGCACUCUUGUAGCACGUGUGAGGCCUUGAGUUCGAUCCUCAGCACCACA
rnacentral:tRNA from 1 species